UAUCACGUGUAAUAAUCAGCUACAGGGAAAAGCUUUGGCCUAAAUGAUCAAUAUUCUUUCAAAUAGAACGAUGAAGAUUGCUGCCUCAAAAUGCUAUCACUGUACAGACCUGUUUUAACUUUGCCCUCCACAGAACGGACUGGAGUAUCUGAGAUAAAGGAACAUGAUACAGGGGAGCUGUACACUGAGAUCUCGUUCUUCCGUUGUCUGCAAGCAACAGACAGCAGUGGGAAUGCUAUGCUAUGCAGCUCCUGAUUGAACUCACGGCAUCAAAGAGAAACGUUAAGCACACUCAGAAAACCAGCAUGACUGGAUUCUCAGAGCUCUACUAAUCCAGCCAACUCUCCUUCAAUUUUGCCUUUACUGACUAGCCUUCUUCUCUCCAAAUGGCAGCGGUGAUAAGGAAGAAUUCAUGUCCCGUUCCCCACCUGAUAGAAAGACCAGCAGCAAAACUCCCAGGCUAAGGACACUUUUACUGCUUGGAGCCUUCUGAAUAAUAAAGCCAUCUCAUUUCAGAAAGUAUUAAGAAGCAUCAGAGGUAAAAUGUGAGCAAGCGUUGCAGGCCUUUAGGCUGGUACAGGUACUCAGAAGUAACACAGCACCCUGGGAAACUUCACGAUCAAGACCUUACUACUACACCAUUUUGUAUGACAGGGAAGGAUCAAACUGGACAGGGUCUGGGUAGAAUAUCAAGAUCAAACUUUUUUCAUGGUAGAACUUUUCUCUCCUUCUCAAAAGCGUAUUUGUAGUUUUAUGGUUGUAAAGGCAACUUUCACAUUGUGAACUGAGAUAAAGCAAUAUAGUAAGUUGCCCAAGCCUGCAAGCACACUGAAACAGGUUUCUCGAAAAUAACUUCCACAUCAUAGCUUGAUGCCUUGAAAUGACUGUCUGAGCCCCAGCCUUCUCCCCAAAGAUUUUUUUUUAACAUAUCUUGUUUCUUCAAGUUUGAAUCAAUGGAAGAAAAAGACUAUGACUUUUUGUUAUGUCUUGAGUUAAAACCUAUUAAAACUGGUAGAUCUAGAACUACAUUUCCUUUCAAGCUAAAUAAGGCUACAGUCAAAUACCUCUUUGUUUAGUAAUUGCUAAAAACAAAAGACUGCAAAAAAACAUAGGCUGUGCAGGGUCUGGACCUCACAAGACAAAGGGAAUCAUGGGAACCCAUGCCCCAAAUGUGAAGAUCACAGCAAUGAGUAAUGCAGUUCUGCUACUAAAAGUUUUGGGGGUGACUGUGGGUAUCUUUGUUGAUAUAAGAAGCAGAUCCUAACACGCACGGCUUACUGUAAGCCAAUAUUAAGUACAUAACUUUACUACAUCAAAUUACUGUAAUUAUUUCUUUGUUAUUUUGCUAGCUGUCACUCAAAGCAUAUGGAAUAGGAAAGGCAUAAAACUUUCUAUUUCUUAGAGGGGGCAAAGAACAUCAAGAAUAGGAUUCUUCUUAAAGAAAGCCUCCCAAAGCCAUCCAAAAUGAGCUUCCUCUCUCAGAAUACCGACAGGUUACUUUGAGCCUUAAAAUAAAUCUUGGAAACCCAUUAAGCAGGUGAAAAGGACUUCAGUUUCAUUCUUUAACCACACCUUAUCCUUGACCAAGUCCUUCAUGGCUAAUCAGUUCCAGUUAUUUCUGAACAAAGUUUUAACCACUCCUGUUUUAACCACAUAUGCUGGGGAGAGGGGAAGAAGUGAUCUGUCUGAGCAUUAGACAAGUAAAUAGACUUACUGACAGAAUAAAAGCAAAAUAACAAAACAAAGUAACUGAAAAAGACAGAAGACCAUUUAGCUUAUAAUAUAAUUUGAGGAAGGCCUAGAAGAAAGUGGGACACCUAACAAUAUCCAAACGCCUCUGGGUCACAUUAUUUCAGCUGUAUCGUGCCCUAAGUUUUGGCAAGAAGAAAUAUGGGAAGGAAAUGCCAAGAUGUCCAGUACUUCUCCUUCAUAUUUAAAUGGUCUUUAUCCCAGCACCAGUAUAUCAAAUCAAACUUGAUUUACCCUUAAAAAUACAGUCUAAUUCCCAAAAGUUCUGCAGCAUCUCUGGCCUGCUUUCAGGUCACUGUGGCACACAGGACGUGGACUGGAUGCUGAGGGUGACGCACAGCAUGUGUUCAGGAGAAGGAAGGACUACCUGAAAAUCCCAUGGAAAAACCAUGUCAUGUUCAACCUAGUCUCCAGACAACAGGUUAAAAAUGUGAGAAAUUACUUAAGUCAAAAAAAGUAUAAAAGAAAUGUGUGUAUUUAAACUUUUGCCUAAACUGACUCACAAAGUGAGAAAGCCAUGAAAACGCAAAAUUCACUUUGGAAAACUAUGCCCAGAUAAGGUUAUACAAGGCUUUCUGAAUAACUGUGCAAUACCUGGAUUAUGUCUGUGCGUAUGCACAUACAGCCUUUAACACUGUAGAGAUGCUGCAUCCUACACAUAAUGCUGAACCUUUCAGUACGUCUGUAAAUUAGAAAAGAAGAUGGAAAACAGGACACAGAGAAAUUCUUUGGUCCACUAUUACACAAAACUGGCAAGAAUUAGCAGCUGAAGCCACAUAGCUUCAGAUCUCAAUCCUAAAACUAUAUUUCCUUUGAUAUUACUCAUUCCUAGGGCACAUUUAAAAGAGCAGUGAACAACUGAUGCAGAUUGUUAUGGCUUAUUAGCCAGUCAGCAACAGAUAUGAGCCCUGCAUAUACUCAUUUACUGUAACAAAUACUUGCACAUGGGAUGGAAGCACUAGGAAACCAUACCCCCACAGAUACUGGCUCAGUCACCCUUUCCUUUCCAGGCCUGGUUCCAUCUCAGUCCUUCCAUUAAUCCCCCAUCUGCCUUUUAGUUUUGCUUAGGUUACAAGUUAUCACCACUAAGUACAUGUAAACUGUAACCAAAGACAGUCUGUGCCUAAUAUAAUCACUCAAAUAAUUUCCAGCUAACGAUUUACUGUUUGCUUCACUUCCCCACCCACUGUCUGGCUUUUUUAGGGCAAAGACACUAUUUCUUGCAUGUUGCUAGAGGAUUACACACACCAGUCAACCUAAGAAUGCAAUAAAAAAAAGAUUUAAUGACAAAGGGGAUGAAUAGAACAUACGAGCAUUUUCCCUUCAGCAGAAAACAGUAUGUUGCUGCUUUGGUGGCAAAGGCUUCUAUGCCCAGAAGAGGCUAAGAACUGCCUUCUCAGAGUGCCACGCCAGUAGAAGUACUUUUGGCUCAACAUGCCCUUGUGUCUGCUGACCUGAUUCUUCAAUGAGACAAUUCACUGUCUGUUCCUGGGGAGAGAAUGAAUGGAGAAGUCAUAUCAGUUAUCCAAGAGUCUUCAGGAUACACUCUGACAGAUGAUGAAAGGAUGCUAAUAUGUAACUGAAAUACCCUCUACCGAAAUACAUUAAACCUCAGCUGAUUACACACAGGUCUGAGCUAUCUCAGACCUUCAGAACAGGAAUUGAGUUGUUUAUCAGUGAAAGCCAAACUUCUGAAAAGCUGGCUGCCCACUACAGAGCCUUUGUGUUGGGUAAAUUAGCUUCAGGAAGAGAAUCAAAAUUAAUUAAAACCACAUGGAGAUCCUCUCCCUUUACCCCCUUUCCACUUUCCUUUUGCUAUAUGAAUCCCCUCACUGGGAGACAGAGGCCAGUUCAGUCAAGUGUUUUUGUUUCCUAAAGUCUCAGUCUUGGGGUAUGUCCAUUAAUAAGCUGCAGCUGAUUUUAAUCUAGAUGAACUCAAGACUUCUCUCUUCUCUAGUUUAAAAAAGAUUACAAAUUGUGUGUUAUACAAAUAGAGGCAAAACCGAAAAAAAGAACCAGAAUGAGUAAAAAAAAUCUGCUCUCCAUUAGCUGACCUGCUGAACAAGCUUAUGAUUCAAAUAAAGUUGAGAAAUGAGAGUUAUGGGGGGGGAAAACACACAACUAAAAGCUCUAGUGAUACUGCAGCCAGACACACUGGAAAGAGGAGAUGCAGUGAUGUCUCAUAGCUGCCACCACCACUGUAACAACUCAGAAGAGAUAUUAAUGAGAUUCCAGAAGUGGCAAACCAGAUGCCACAAGACUGUUCUGGUAGUUUGCAGCAGUUCUUCCCAGUUAAAAUCACUUUGAUCAGAAACUAUGACCUCUUUGUACCUCAUGGCUCCCUGGUAGCUAAGGUAGAAUAAAGUGGUCUCAGAUUGGCCCUUUGUAGAUACUUCUGAGUAUAAAAAACGCAAUGGUACCCACAUGGACUGAUUCACGUAGCACUUCUAAAAAGGGGUGCUGAACCUAGAGAGAGUUGAGUCAAAUGAGUGUUGAUGUAUAAUACUUAGGGAGUAUAAAGGAAAUAAGAAGGUGUAUGGGUGUGUUGUCCUGUAAACAGUGUUGGGCUCCUCAGGGCAAGGGAAAGAAGAAACAAAGCCCAUGCCAACAUAAUGCACAAUUAUUUCUCCUUUUGUCCAGAAAAUCUACUCUAGAUUAGCUCUAACAAGUAAGGAAAUAAAAAGGUAAACCAAUCUGCUGUAAAAGGUUAAUGGGAGAAUUAUUUUUGGUUUGAUACAACAGCUCAGGCUUUAACACAACAGUCUUCUCACCAUAUUCAAGGAUGACAGAAGAAAAUCACUUCUCUGUAGUGCUGUUUCUCAUGCCCGCAGUUGUAGAUGACUGCAAACAAGGCUGUCAGUACUGCUAUCUGCCAGCACUAAUAUGAUUAUGGUCAAAACACUUCUGUCUUAUUGGUAUCAAACCACUGCAUGUAGACAUCUUUGUUUCUUCUCCUGUCACACAGAGGGAAGGAGAGUCGAAUACCAUUAUUCUCCACAAUCACAGAAAGGGCAGGCUCUUCAUCGGCAUUAUCUCUUCAUCUGAAAUACCUCAGUUUACUCCUGUUAACUUCUUAGUACAGUGUGUUUUUAAUGUACUUCACCCUAAACUACUUCUAAGUGCUCUUAGUCUCAGAUCUCCAAAACAUUAGUUUUCUUUAUUAAUUUCCAUUUGUGCUGAUAUUUUAAAAUAACACAUUUAAAUACUUACAGAAUGCCAUCAUAUGAUACUGCCGAGGAUCUAAAAAUUGGGAGUGCUAAUCUUAAAUUAUUUGAAUUUUGUGUGGGAAGGAUCUUUUGUUCUUUCUAUGUCAGCUUGAAUUCUUUUGCCGUUUUAUGUCACUUUGGAACUCCACACAGACAGAGGGCACUGGAUGGCUCAAGACUACAGGAAUCCACGAUUUUUAAAACCAUUGCAAUAAGCUACAAAUGUGGCACUCAUUUUUCUUGAUGCUCAACCUUAGCACUGAUGUAUUAAAAGUUUCACUUUAGAGGAAUCUCAUGAGCAGCUCAUACAGAACUGCUGUAUUUAAAAAUGACCACUGCUGUUGAGCAGCAAAGCCACACAUGAAGGCACUAUGAACAGCAAGCGUGUAGAGCAGAACUACUCACGGCACCCUGCAGUCACAGAGACAGCACCAAGAUCGCAGCCAUUUGGAAGGAAAGCUCUUUAUAGAGUUAUCUGUAACAGAUUUUUGUUCUUUAACUCUAGCUGAAAAAUAGAGGUAAAAAGCUGCUUUAAAUCCACAAGAAAAAAAUGUUUUUAAUAACCUAUGAGCAAGACUUUCAGUGAGCUGUACUUGCAAACAAAAGACCCCAAGAAACUGGAGUCUUUAUGGCACUGUGAUCUCAAAAAAUCUCAAAAUAGCAUUUGAUUUCACAAAGAAUCUACUUCAGAAGUCCAGAAUUUUUUUUUUCUCUGUUUGCUAAUGCUGUCAGUUUGGAAAUUGCACACAUCCAUUUUAUACAAACAGAGUAUACACCUGUGCAAAGUAAACCCACAGCUUUGCCAUAAGAAGGAAAUACAAUAGACUAGUAAAAGUGCUAGUAAACAGUAACAAACAAUAGAUAAACAGAGGAACAGACAGACAGACAUGAGUAAGAGGAAUUAUACAAUCCUACUCGCUUCACCUGAAUACAACCCCUUGCAAUAAGCCUCAAUUGCAAUGAUAAACGUACUUGGAUUAAACCCAGCAAUUUUUCAUUCCCUGCUAAUGGGGCAAAUGUAACUUGGAAGGGGUCUGCAUGCAAUCACUGGAGGUUUAAUUUGUAUAACUUUUCUGGUGUUUGACUAUACUUGAUUGCAUGUGGAUGGCUGUGGGACGGGCAGACAGCUGAGUGAAAAACUAUGACAAAAGGAAUCUCGUCCCAUUUCCUGCCUGUGCUUCAUUCACUAAUGAGCACUGCUCUGGGUCAUUCUCAAGAUUUCUUCAUCUGUUGUCUCAUCUGCAAAAGGGGCAACCCAGCAGUGGAGCUGUUGUCAGCUUGUCUUGGGAGUUUUUUCUGCUGCCUCUCACCCCUGCAGCUGUGUGGGAUUGUAAGUGCUGGCUGAAAACACCACCAUAUUUCGUGCUUCUUUUUGGGUGACUUGAAGGCCAGUCUGAGGCCAGAUG